GCUCGCUUAGCUCAGUCGGAUAGAGCGGCGGUUUCCUAAACCGUAGGCCGCAGGUUCGAUCCCUGCAGCGAGCA
rnacentral:tRNA from 1 species